ACAAAUAAUACCUGAAAACUCAAACAUUUGGCAACUACAGCUAGCUCUCUUCUCAAAAACCUGGAACCUAACAAAGUGAGCUUUAUGGUCUUCCCCAAACUUUGCCACCCUAUAUGUAAUUGUUGAUCCCAUAUCAUCAAUUACAGUUGCAGGAUAAGCAAGUGUCUCAACCAAUUCCUCUUGGAAUUUCAUAAAUAUCUUCCUUGUAUAAAGGUUUGCUGCUUGUUUUUCCAUAGGAGAUGGAGUUUUUAAAACUGGAGGAGCAUUCAUUGUAUCAUAAUCUGCCUUUACUUCCUUUUCAUAGCGAUUUGUAAUUGCUUUUUCAUGCUGCUUAAUCAGUACCUGAAUAUUAGUUGAUGCAUUAAUAUACCCAUCAAAGUAAGAAUUAAUACUAUCACUUCCUUGCAUUGUGGACAUCUCACCAAAGAAUGUAUCCAUGAGAUAAACAGGCACCCACUGCUGGCGAGC
rnacentral:misc_RNA from 1 species